rnacentral:lncRNA from 1 species
AAAGUUUUAAAGUACGUACGCUCACAUGAAUCACGCUUACACACAUGCACCAACAUUUUAAUCCGAACCUAAUGGCAUCAAUUUGUAUCACAAAAGUUAUAAGGAAUGAAAUGAACCUUAUUACAUAAAUAAAUAAAAGCUGAGGACACAUGUGAUAGGAUUCUGGGAACUUUUUGUGCGUUCCCUAUAUUCUUAUCUUAAAUAAUGACAUUUUCAGCAAGAGUUUCGCGUGUUUCCAAUCUUGUCGUUUUUUCACAUGCAUCGAUCAUUCGUGUCGGAUUCUUGCGUUUCACAUAUACUCCCU